rnacentral:rRNA from 1 species
GAUGAACGCUGGCGGCGUGCCUAAUACAUGCAAGUCGAGCGAAUGGAUUAAGAGCUUGCUCUUAUGAAGUUAGCGGCGGACGGGUGAGUAACACGUGGGUAACCUGCCCAUAAGACUGGGAUAACUCCGGGAAACCGGGGCUAAUACCGGAUAACAUUUUGAACCGCAUGGUUCGAAAUUGAAAGGCGGCUUCGGCUGUCACUUAUGGAUGGACCCGCGUCGCAUUAGCUAGUUGGUGAGGUAACGGCUGACCAAGGCAACGAUGCGUAGCCGACCCGAGAGGGUGAUCGGCCACACUGGGACAGAGACACGGCCCAGACUCCUACGGGAGGCAGCAGUAGGGAAUCUUCCGCAAUGGACGAAAGUCUGACGGAGCAACGCCGCGUGAGUGAUGAAGGCUUUCGGGUCGUAAAACUCUGUUGUUAGGGAAGAACAAGUGCUAGUUGAAUAAGCUGGCACCUUGACGGUACCUAACCAGAAAGCCACGGCUAACUACGUGCCAGCCGCCGCAGUAA